GGGGAUGUUUUUGGAUUCGACGUUUUUGUAUGGACGAUAAGAAGCAUGUCGCAGGUCCGGCUGCGUUAAAGACGGAAAAUUAAAAUUAAACGCAAAAAAUAACGAAAAAGUGAACGCUCCUGCGUUCGCAUUCGCUGCUUAAUUAAUUAGCGGCACGUCGACCUUACGUUCCUGUUCCGUCAGCAAUCGGCGUCAUACUGAACGGGCUACGGAUUUACCCACGGCGGUAAGUAAAUCGGCAUUCUCCGCCUCUUCAAAACCGCCGUCUGUCGGCGAACGACGGUAAGAGAACUUAAUCACCGAAUAAGCAUGUAGAAGGUGUCGGGUGUAGAAGGACGAACCGGGGUUCAAAUCCCCGCAUCUCCACCA
rfam:Clostridium sp. CAG:349 genomic scaffold, scf94